UGUAAGCGUAUACCAAAGUUGUUGCAGUUAAAACGCUCGUAGUCGGAAUUUGGCAGUUCCGGAUGUGUGCACGUCGUGUGCGCACUUCGCGGGGAUUGCUUUUGUGGUCUUGCGUAGGAUGAGGCACUUUUAUUAGUGAACGUCCUCACGCAACCACUUUUUACUGUGAGAAAAUCAGAGUGCUCAAAGCAGGCAUUUGCCGUGAAUGUAUUAGCAUGGAAUAAUAGAAUAGGACUUGGUUCUAUUUUGUUGGUUUGUUGGGACUGAGUAAUGAUUAAGAGGGACAGUUGGGGGCAUUUGUAUUUCGGUGCUAGAGGUGAAAUUCUUAGAUUACCGAAAGACAAACUGCUGCGAAAGCGUCUGCCAAGCAUGUUUUCAUUGA
rnacentral:rRNA from 1 species